rnacentral:rRNA from 1 species
AUUGAACGCUGGCGGCAUGCUUUACACAUGCAAGUCGAACGGUAACAGGCCGUCGGGUGCUGACGAGUGGCGAACGGGGGAGUAAUCCAUCGGAACGUGCCCAGAGGUUGGGGGUAACGCAGCGAAAGCUGUGCUAAUACCGCAUGUGAUCUGAGGAUGAAAGCGGGGGACCACGCAGCAAUGUUUGGCCUCGCGCCUUUGUAGCGGCCGAUGUCAGAUUAGGUAGUUGGUGGGGUAAAGGCCUACCAAGCCGACGAUCUGUAGCUGGUCUGAGAGGACGACCAGGCACACUGGGACUGAGACACGGCCCAGACUCCUACGGGAGGCAGCAGUGGGGAAUAUUGGACAAUGGGCGAAAGCCUGAUCCAGCAAUGCCGCGUGCGGGAAGAAGGACUUCGGGUUGUAAACCGCUUUUGUCCGGAAGGAAAAGGAUCUGGCUAAUACCUGGUGCUGAUGACGGUACCGUAAGAAUAAGCACCGGCUAACUCCGUG